AAUAAUCCUUAUAAGACUUAAACUACAAAGCUAAUAAAACCAGAGAGAAAAAUAAUAGAUAAGAAGAUAGAAGGAGUCAACUUACUUAAGGGAGUUAAACAGAAGAUUUAGAGAGAGAUUAAGACAGGAAGUCUAACGUCUCUGUUGUGCUGCUGUGAUAUGCUCUGUUUCAUAAAAAAAGGUUCGUUAAGUUUUCUGGUUUGAGACAAAAAGUGGAGACGGAGAUAAGAAGUUUUUUUGCUUAAAGAUUUGGAAGAAGGUACGUGUCUAGUUUAUUUGUUUUCUUAUUCUUUUUUUUUUUUGCUGACGAUCUUGGACGUAACUUAACUUGAGUUAAAAGAAAAAAAAAAUAAGAGAUAAAGAUGUUAUGUAUAUAGUAUAUUUAAUUUAUAACUAUCUUCCAAAAAAUAUGUAAAUAAUUUUUUUUUGUCUAAUUUUUUUUUAAUAGGAAUAAGUA
rnacentral:lncRNA from 1 species